GAGCGGUCGAAUGGGGAAUCUAUGCAUAUCUAUGAGAUAGAGAGCACAGUUGCGUAUUGGCUUGAAUGAAUAAAACCAGAGACGAUCCUUCCUCCACGCAAAAUACGCAAGAUGCCUAGGGCCCCCCAAACAACAGGGGGGGCUCUUGCUCUCAAAGAUUAUUAAAUUUUAGUUUCGAUUUGAAUUUGGCCAGCGGUUAUAAAACCAUGAAUGCUGAAAAAUAAAGCCAUCAACGGGUGUUGUCUGCGUUGGAUGUCUGUGUUUUUUUGUGUUUUUCACCAAGGAUUCUAAGGUGGCGUUCACACUUACGUUGUUAUCCGUCAAGGCUGCCUUAUGGGGGACGGCGGUGUGGGAGAACCAACAUCCGUGUUGUGCCUCGUUCAACGCCCUCUCUGAGGAAAUGAGGAGAGUAUUCGACCGUGCCGCGGCUGGCAGGGAAGCCGCUCAUCAACUCUCGGAACUCCGUCAAGGCUCUUCAUCAGUGACCGAUUACUCCAUCGAGUUCCGCACCCUGGCAGCCGCAUGCCAGUGGAACGAGGUGGCGCAGUGGGAUCGAUUACUGCAUGGGUUAUCCGACCGUGUUCAGAAAGAGAUCUACCUCCUCAAGCUGCCCCCCACUCUCAAAGGACUCAUAGAGUUGGCUCUAUGGGUCGACGCACGGAUUAAUCGCCUGGAUCGCCAACCCAGUCCUUCUCGCCCUACCAUCUCUCAUGCUAGGGGGCGCUUGAGUCGAGAGAACACGGUCGGUUCCGUCGACGACCAUGAGCCCAUGCAGGUGGGUAGAGCUCGGCUGUCCCAGAGGGAGAGGGAACAGCGAAGGUCCCAAGGACUGUGUCUGUACUGUGGAGGCUCUGUUCAUAACACCUACUCAUGCCCGGUAAAAGAGCUAGCCCGAUAGUAAACUUGAGGCUACUAUCGGGUGGGAUCUCCGCUGAGAAGUCCUCCUCUACAUCAUCGACUCUCCUUCCGGUGAAUCUGCGGUGGAGGAAUCAAUAUCACGAAUGUCACACCCUUCUAGACUCCGGAGCCGAAGGUAAUUUCAUUGAUUUUUCACUUGCACGUCACUUGAACAUUCCUGUCCUUCCUGUGUCUCUCCCCAUCCAUGUCACCGCACUCAACGGCCAGGAACUGCCUCACAUCACUCACCAUACAGAACCCAUCACACUGUUCACGUCUGGAAACCAUCACGAAACCAUAUACUUUUUCCUCAUGGACUCCCCUGUUGCUCCCAUUGUUUUAGGUCACCCUUGGUUAACCAAACAUAAUCCACGAGUGGAAUGGGGUUCUAACACUGUCACAUUGUGGAGUGAAAGUUGUCAUGAGUCUUGUCUGGUUUCUGCUUGUCCUGUUGUCCCUGUUUCUGUAUUUCAGAAGGAGAGCAUGGUUUUGCUAAACAUGCCCGUUGAGUAUCUGGACCUGAAGGAAGUGUUCAGUAAGUCCCGUGUUGCUUCUCUCCCUCCGCAUCGUCCCUACGACUGUGCUAUAGACUUAGUGUCAGGUAAGUCUCCGCCUAAGGGCAAGUUAUACUCUCUGUCUAUUCCUGAGAGGUAGGCCAUGGAGAAAUACAUUUCUGAUUCCUUAGCCUCUGGGUUCAUCUGUCCUUCCUCUUCUCCAGCGGGGGCGGGAUUCUUUUUUGUGGGUAAGAAGGAUGGUUUUCUGUGACCUUGGAUUGAUUACCGAGAGCUGAACAACAUCACGAUAAAGAAUACCUAUCCUUUGCCACUCAUGUCUUCAGCUUUCGAGAGGUUGCAGGGAGCAUCCAUAUUCACAAAACUGGAUUUACGCAAUGCUUAUCAUUUGGUCCACAUCAGGAAGGGGGAUGAAUGGAAAACUGCCUUUAAUACCCCUAGAGGGCACUUUGAAUACUUGGUGAUGCCGUUCGGGCUCUCCAACUCGCCCGGGUUUUCCAAGCACUCGUGAAUGACGUGUUGAGAGAUAUGGUAGAUCAGUUUAUAUAUGUUUACCUGGAUGAUAUACUGAUUUUUUCUUCAUCUCUUCAGGAACAUGUUCAACAUGUCAGACGAGUGCUCCAGAGGUUACUUGAGAAUGGGCUUUUUGUCAAGGCAGAGAAAUGCGUAUUCCAUGCACAGUCUGUUCCUUUCCUAGGGUAUAUCGUCUCGUCCGAGGGAAUAUGUAUGGACCCUGACAAGGUUAAGGCUGUGAUAGAUUGGCCAUCUCCAGAUUCCCGUAAGGCCCUACAGCGGUUUCUGGGGUUCGCCAACUUCUAUCGGUGUUUCAUACGUAAUUUCAGCCAACUAGCUUCACCUCUGACAGCCUUGACCUCCCCCAGUACUCCGUUCAGGUGGUCGUGUUCGCUAACCUCAAGAACCGCUUCGUUUCGGCUGCCAUCCUUGUGGCCCCUGAUCCCACACGGCAGUUCGUGGUGGAGGUUGACGCGUCAGAGGUGGGGGUAGGAGCAGUGUUGUCCAAAUGUGCUGCUUCGAACGAUAAGGUACAUCCUUGCGCGUUUUUCUCUCAUCGACUAUCUCCUGCCGAACGUAAUUAUGACAUUGGCAAUAGAGAGUUGUUGGCCGUCAAAUUAGCAUUAGAAGAAUGGCGUCACUGGUUGGAAGGUUCAGGGGCUCCUUUUAUUGUUUGGACCGAUCAUAAGAAUUUAGAGUACAUUAGAAUUGCCAAAAGACUCAAUUCCAGGCAGGCUCGGUGGGCACUUUUUUUCGGUCGUUUUGAGUUUACUUUAUCGUAUCGCCCGGGGUUCCGAAAAUGUCAAACCCGACUCUUUAUCACGUCUUUUUGAUCCCUCCGCCCGUCCGGUGACUCCUGAGUGUGUUUUACCUGAGAAGUUAGUGGUAUCCGCACUUGUAUGGGAGGUCAAGUCGAAGGUCAAGACGGCCUUACAAGGGGUAACGCCUCCGUCCGGUUGUCCACCGAACCGUUUAUUUGUGCCAAAGGGGUUAAUGUCCGAAGUUGUCCAGUGGGGUCAUUGUUCUAAUGUAGCUUGUCACCCAGGGAUAAGUAGAACUAAUGGGUUGGUUAGACAAUGAUUCUGGUGGCCACGUAUGGCUCGCGACGUCCGCAAUUUUGUUUUGGCUUGCUCAGUUUGCGCCAGUGGUAAGUCAUCUAACCGACCUCCUGAUGGGCUUCUUCGACCGCCGUCUGUCCCUUCGAGACCCUGGUCCCACAUCGCUCUAGAUUAUGUUACCGCCCUCCUGCCCUCUAAUGGUAUAACGGUCGUUUUGACCGUAGUGGACCGGUUCUCGAAGGCAGCACAUUUCAUUCCCUUGCCCAAAUUACCUACAGCCAAGGAGACAGCGGUCACUGUCCUAGAUCACGUCUUUCGGCUUCAUAGCCUCCCAGUAGACGUGGUUUCGGACAACGGAUCUCAGUUCAUAUCCAAAUUUUGGAAAGAGUUUUGCAAAUUGUUAGGAGUGUCAGUUAGCUUGUCUUCGGGUUAUCAUCCCCAAAGCAACGGACAAUCUGAGUGAGCCAACCAAGAUUUAGAGAGGACGUUGCGAUGUUUGGUCUCCAAGAAUAUAUCCCCUAUAUAUUAGCUUGUCUCACGUCUUGUGUUUGUGAAAUCAUUGUUUAAUGUCGGUUACCCUGUUUGUUGGCUCUAGUGUUGUCUGCGUUGGAUGUCUGUGUUUUUCCCAGAACCUCAUCCACUCUCCACACUUCCACUCAGCCACGAACACUUACCUUCGGCUCUAUUCCCCGCAGUUCCUGUGCCAUCCUCUCCUGCUGCCUACUCACCGUCAUCAUACGGACUACUCACCUUCUCUCCGCCAUCAUCCGGAUUCCUCACCUCCUCACCACCACUUCGGGGUGUCGUCUUCUUAGUCUGUUAACUCAUAUCUGUUUCCUGACUGUCCUUCACCCCACCGUCACAAGUGGUUGAACAAACUUCUCCAGGUUGAGAUGACAUCUGUUAUGAGAUGUAAAACAUCUAUCAAAAGCAUCACUAGAUUUAUUCUUAAAUAUUUUUGAUAAAGGUUUGGGAGUCAGGAAAGUGACCAGUUGACUGGAAGCAUGGGAUUAUAAUUCCAAUUGCAAAACCAGACAAGGAUUUUACGCAGUCAACUUACUACAGACCCAUAGCUUUGACAUCUAAUUUCUUCAAACUGAUGGGGGCUUAUGGUAAUGAGUAGACUGGUAUAUGUCACUGAGAAGAAACAUUUCUUAUCACCAUACCAAAGAGGAUUUAGAAAGGACGUAACAAAAUGGAUUCUGUGCUAAACUUGGAAUCUGAAAUUGUCAUGGGUGCGUACUGGACAGAGGACUCAGAUGCAGAGUAAAGAAAAAGGAGAAUCUUUAUUCUUGCCACAAAACACAAAAUAACAUAAAUAAUAACGAAAUGCUCUGGCGCACACAGAGAUCUCCGAGCUUGCCGGCACACUGCGGACCACUCACACUGCCGGAUCUCCGAAUUACGGAUCCUUUGACACAAGAACAGAAGGUGAGACUGAUACUGAGAAUAAUGCAAAACAUGGGCAAAGACAAAACAAUCUACUCACGACCACAGACAGAAAAGCAGAGACAUAUAAGGGAGUGGGGGAACGAGCGACAGGUGGGGAAGAAUCAGUUUGUGAUCUGCACAACCCCACCACAAUCAGCGCUGAUUGCCCAGACCACGAGCUACUGAACAGACAGGACAACACAGACCACAGGGGAAGCUGAGAUGGCACCCUGCACCGUGACAGAAAUAAGAUAGACAAGUUAUAACCCAACUGUUGGGUUAAAUGUUUCCCGCUUCACUCCUGUUCAAAUUUUAACGGCCCAGUCAGAGACUCAGUGCGGACAUCAGCGGCAGCCUGCCUGAUAAUGAAGGACAAUGGACUUUUUCGUGAAGGAAAAAAUGCAACAAUACAAUUUCUGCCUGUUAACUGGAACAUUUCAAUGCCUUCGUGCAGAAAUUGUCUUUAAACCCUUCCUGCCAUCUGCACCAUACCACACAAAUGGAAAAAUGGUGUGCACAUCAUACACGGAAAUGAAACGGUCCUUCAUUGACAUUCAAACUGUUGGCACUAAUUAGUGCUGUACUUGAAUCACGAGACAAGCCAGAAUCCACAUGUCCUGGUGCUUGGUGACAAGGAAAACUCCUCCCAAGAUUUUAUUAUUUUAAAUAAGGGAGGCGAUGGAACAGGAGACGAUAAUACAAGCAGUCGAUCUGUGUUUUAAACUUUAUAUGACAUCUACUACCCAAAGCCCUCUGCUCAUAUUUGAGAGUUUUUGUAACACACAGUCUUUAAUAGUUUCUUCUGCACACUGUCUCCUCCUUAAAAACUUUGUAUAUAGUAAUCAGUAAAAAACUUUAUUAUUUUAUUGAUCAUCAGUAUGUCCAGCAGUAUAUUUUUAUUAUUAUAACUUGAUUUUAUGAUUAUUUUUUGUUUUAUUAAAUGUUAUGUUCAUUUUAUUUGAAAGUCGUAAUAUUUGCCAUGUAUGGGGACCCAUAUCCGGAAUUGAAGAUUUAGAAAGAGGAAAGAGGACGUUUUAAUAACAAGAAUGCGUAUCGGUCAUUAAUGAUUAAAUCAGUUGCAAAGAAUAGGAAAACAUGUAAAUGUAAAUUGUGAUAAAUGUGUGGAUUAUGAAAGAGAACGUUUCCAGCUGGUCAAGCUUUACGAUAUUUUAGAAUAAAUGAUCUGUCACACAAGGUUCUGUUAGGAGAUGGAGCUCUUUCGAGAAUUAGUUGUUAAUUUAAAGGAAACAGGGUUGAUUAAUAGGAUUUAGAAUACCAGAUUCUGUUGUGGUUAUUUUUCCUCUUGUUAGUAGUUCUUGUUUCUAAACUUCCUAUCCACUGUGUGCUUCACAAACACUGGUGGUGGCAGGAAUGCACCCUUAAGUUGGCUUGCCAACCACCAUGAAAUCCUAAAAGAAGAAGGAGAACCAUUACUAUGUAAAUAUGAGUGUGGAUUUCGAGCUAAAACAUCAACAAUGGAUGCAAAGUACAGUAAUGAAAUAGAGAAGGCAAUAAUAUUGGAGUAGUAUAUUUAUGGUUCAGCACCAGAAUCAUUAUUACGGAAUCUAAAAAGAAUACAGUAUAGAGCUUGCAGAAUACAAUUUGCAAAUAGACAGACGUACUGUUACUUGCUCUACAUUCAAAAAUCUGGUUGUUAUACUGUAUUAGACAUUAACUUGUCUUUUAAAAAACAUCUUACUCAUGUUAUAAAAACAGCAUUUUUCCAUCUUUGAUACAUUGCCAAGCUACGAAAGUUGUUACCUGCUUCUGAUGCAGAAAAGCUAGUUCAUGGUCUCUAGACUGGACUAUUGUAAUGGGGGGAGGGGGGGUCCUGCAUCUUCAAUAAACAAACUAGAGGUAGUACAAAAUGCAGCAGCUAGGGUCCUUACCAGGUCAUUUUGCAGACUCUGCACUGGCUACCUGUUAUGUUCUGUUUAAAAAUAUUAUUACUUACUUAUAAGGCCCUUAAUGGUUUAGCUCCUGCACACCUAACUAGUCUUUUACCACUCUACAAUCCAUCACACUCCCUAAGGUCACAAAACUCAAAGUCCACUAAAGGAGGUACACUGUAAAAAAAAAAAUCCUGUAAAUUUAUAUGGAAAUUUAACAGCAAAUUGCAUUGCAUUAUUUUACAAUGCAUUAUGGGAAGACUUGUUCACUUCGGGUUGAGUGGUCGAUCUACAACAAUUUGACACUGUUAUUAACAGUAUUAUACCCUAUUUUCAUCCAAUGAGCACAAGGCGCGGCAUUUUGGAAUAUCAGAUUGAGGUAGGUUUGCAACGAUUUAUUAUUUUAUUAUCUUUAAAUGACCUAUUACUUUAACAUAUAACAUCUUAAACAUCUAAUGAAGCUUCUGUGAUUUAAAUCAGAUGCCUCAAUUAAAUUAAGUGUUUUAACUAAUGUUAUAGGCAAAUAAUUGGUCGACCGAUCCCAGGCUGAAGUCAAACAGCCAUCUUUAUCACACACAGAAAGACAUCCGCUUCUGCAGGCGUUUCUUCAUGCUGGUGAGCUCUUCCCUCCUGCUAUUGUAGCAGAAAAGGCAACAGAGUUUGUGCAAUGUCCGCCUUGGUGGGAGAACUGAGGGAAAUCAUCCUCAGGGCUUUGCGUCAAAUGAUGAGAACACCACACAGCUUUUGAUUGACAAACUUGUAGGCUCUGGAUUGGAAUCCAAAGAUGAUCUUCAGUUUGUUCAACAAGAAGACAUCAGUGACAUACUACCAACUAUAAAACUAAGAAAACUUCUCAAUGCUUUUAAAAUGGAGUCAGAAACUGUCAGUUUGGAUCUCACCACUAUAGAGCACACUCCUUCCUUAUCAGCUGGAAGCUCUUCACCACAGCCAUGCUCUUCUAAUAUGUCGGUAACUACUGAUGGAGAAUCAAGCAGUCUUGAAAACAGUCGACCAUCUACAUCGCAUUUUAGGAAAUCGUGGUCAAAUACUUUUCAGGUACCAUGGCCGCUCUUGCCUGCAGAAAUUCAGUCUGCUCUCUCUUCUGGGAAGAGAUCUUCACCACCAGCAAGACGACAAAUGGUCAGGGUGCUUGCAGAUGAAAUGAGAAAAUUUCAGCCAACACCAACACGUGCACAGUGUCUUACUAUUUGUAAAGUGAUUGUCCAUCAAUAUCCCCAGAGCUUUGCUGAUCAACUUCAUGAUGGCCAAGUUGUAGGGGAAGGUUACAGCUCACUUUUUGCCCAGAUCAAGAAUAGAAUUGAUAACCUCAGCCGGGCCACUAGUUUCCGACAACACCAGUCAGCUGGCACUAACACAUAUGGUUGCACCCGGUUUCAGCCUGAUCUUCCUUUAGAUGAGACCGAUGUCUCCAUUGAGACUAAACGCCAGAAGCUAGAGGAUCUAUUCCGUCAAGAAGGUGCAAAGGGAGCUGAGAAAGCUGAGGUAGAAAAACUGAUGGAGACAACUUUCUGCCUGCAACGGAGCCAAAUAAAUAGUGUGCCAGCACCAUCUGUUACGGAGCUGAUGGAAAAGUGGCCAUACCUCUUUUUUCAGAAAGGCCUGUUCGCCCAUUUUGAGCUGCUCACUGACAUUAAUGUCCUGCGUGCACUUGAACUUUCUAUGAAGGAGUGUGGAAAGAGCAUCUUAGAGUUUUUUAAAAGCAAGCCUACCAACUCAGAAGUCAAGUCAAUCCUUUCCAAAGAUGACCCAUGGAAAAGCAAGAUGGACUCAUUCUUCAAGAAAAUAUGUCUGCCACUCCUGCUGACCUCGAAAAGACGGGGAACCUGCCUGUGAGUCCUCGUUUGAUCCUGCUUGGUGAUAAUCCGGGCCAAUGGAUGAAACGAUGGAUGAUCAGCCUCGAAGGCCAAAUAAUCUGCGAGGGUGUGCAGCCAACUUUUCUCUCUGGACUUGCUGCAUUGUUCUCUUCGAGAACAAUUUGAGCCGAACACAGUCGGCUCAAAGAAUAUACUGGCUUCCCAGCUUUGCAAUGGCAUUGAAUAGAUCCCGUGUUUUUGAAGCUCCAAAAACCGCAUCCAUCCAUCAUAAAAUCCAUACGACUCCAGGGGGUUAAUGUAUAAUGUUAAUGUAAAAUAUUUUUUGUAAGAAAAAUAUCCAUGUUUAUAACUUUUAUCAACUAUAAUCACUGGCUUCCAGAAACAGCUGUACGCGAGUUCCAGAUAGAGUCGAGUUCCGGCAGAACAAUGACCUCUGACCCGACAUAUGAAAUCUUAUAAUCUGUUUCACAGAUGUACUUUGAGAUUUGAAUCCUGUCCGAAUCUGCCAUGUUUGUCUUUUUCUCACACGACCUCUGCAAAAAUUUCAGAGCAAAUGACCUACUGUUUUUCGUCAAACUCGGCGGUCCUCAGAUAAAUCUAAUCCCAUCCGAAUGCGAAUGUCUGUGAUUGCCGAAAUUUAUUUUUUUUCCAAAACGCUUUUUCUUUUAGUCAACAUGAACUACCGUAAAAUCUCUCGCUAUCGCGCCAGUAUUCAAGUUUCUGCUUUUUGUGCACCGAUAAUGGAUGUAGAUGUGACGCAUUCGUCAAUUCAAACCUAAGCUUUUGCUACGUCUUCGCCAUACGUCAUGCGUCAGUUCAGAGGUCACCCUUCCGCCAGAACUCAACUCAUUUAUGAACACGCAUAUGGUCAUGCCAGAUGCCAGUGAUUAUAUUUUAUAAAUUUAUAAAAUACAGAUAUCUUUCAGAUAAAAAAGGCAUGGCUUUCCUUAUUAGACAUUUAUUAACCCCGCUGGAUACAUAUCGAUUACUUUUUAUGCUUUAAAGCUGGGAAGGAUGUUAUGCAUUAUGGCUGGAAGAAGAAAGCCAUAUACACUUAUGGUUUGAGGACGUUUUGUUGGAAUUAAUCCAGAAAAGGGGACCAAGGCUGCAAGACGAAAGGUGAUGUCCAAAAAAUCUGGGAAAACCAUGCAGAAGAAGACCAUAACCGUCAGUAACAAAGUAUCAAAUCUUUUAAAAAGACUUAUGGACUUUGAGUGGCACUUCAUUUAAAAUGUAGCUGACACUCCCCACUCAUGCAGUUUGUUUUCAGAAACAUGGUUGUCUGGUGUUAUAUUUUGUUUAUACAGAGUUGUUUAGAUAUUAAAAAGGGCUGGUGUUUUUUAAAGCCUGAUUUAAGAGUUUUUUUUUUAUUAUUAUUUAUUUUAAAUAAUUACUUUGUUUUAGUGCAACUGUUUUUGGGCUAAUGUUUGCCAAAGCCUCAUUUGACACUAGAUUUGUAUUUUAUAUAGAGGUAAGUCAAUUCUAUAUAUUUUGUAUUUGUUUGCUUUUUCUUAAGCCAUUUUUGCAUUUUGAUGAGUGCUUAUUUGUAUGCACUGAAUAUUACUUGACUAGUAUUUUUUUAUUUGCCUGUUUUAGUUUACAAUAAUUGAGCAGAAUUUAUCUUGUGUUGUAUCAGAAUAAUAAAAAAAACAAUCCUAACUUGGCUUUAUUCCUUUUUUGUAAUCCAUGACAAAAAUAAUGUGCAGGGUUAUAAUAGCAUUUAGAAUUGAAAUUAUUGGGGUGUCAUUGUAAAAAAUA